rnacentral:rRNA from 1 species
AUUGAACGCUGGCGGCACGCCUAACACAUGCAAGUCGAGCGGCAGCAUAGUUUGUAGCAAUACAAACGGAUGGCAAGCGGCGGACGGGUGAGGAAUACGUAGGAACCUACCCUCGAGCGGGGGACAACCAAGGGAAACUUUGGCUAAUACCGCAUAAACUCGAGAGAGAAAAGCUGCCCGCAAGGGUGGCACUUGAGGAGGGGCCUGCGUCCGAUUAGCUAGUUGGUAGGGUAAAAGCCUACCAAGGCAAUGAUCGGUAACUGGUCUGAGAGGACGACCAGUCACACUGGGACUGAUACACGGCCCAGACUCCUACGGGAGGCAGCAGUGGGGAAUAUUGGACAAUGGGGGCAACCCUGAUCCAGCGAUGCCGCGUGAGUGAAGAAGGCCUUCGGGUCGUAAAGCUCUUUAGGUUGGGAAGAAGUACAUAGGCUGAAUAAUCCUGUGUGUUGACGGUACCGACAGAAUAAGCACCGGCAAACUCUGUGCCAGCCGCCGCGGUAAAAC